GACCGCGUAGCUCAGUUGGAAGAGCAUUGGGCUAGUAUUCCAAAAGUCGUAGGUUCGAAUCCCGCCGUGGCCA
rnacentral:tRNA from 1 species